AGAGUUUGAUCAUGGCUCAGGAUGAACGCUAGCGGCAGGCUUAACACAUGCAAGUCGAGGGGCGGCGGGGUGUAGCAAUACACUGCCGGCGACCGGCGCACGGGUGCGUAACGCGUAUGCAACCUACCCAUAACAGGGGCAUAACACUGAGAAAUUGGUACUAAUUCCCCAUAACAUUCGAAGAGGCAUCUCUUUGGGUUGAAAACUCCGUGGUUAUUGGAGUGGGCGAUGCGUUG
rnacentral:rRNA from 1 species